AUGUUGCACUAUACAGCUUCACAGAGAGCAUCCUGCGUGCUCAAGGGGUUGCCUGGAUCUCAGCCCGUUAGGAGCAGUGUGAAUGUUGGAGCCAGCGCUUUGCACUUCUCUGGAAAGCAGCCUCUCCCACCUCCCUCGGAAGCAUCAAGCAGGAGGAAGCUCGAAAAGGACAGCUCAUUUCCCACUCGUCACUUUAAAAGGGAAAAAAGCAUAGAUAAUUGCAGAAGUUCAAAGAGAGGAUUGUGGAGUUUUCCAGCAGUGUGCCUUGAGGCUCCCAGGAAGGGGAACCAAGAGAAAACAAGCUGUUACGUAAAAGUUACGAGCAAACAUCUACCACUUCCUCUUCGAAUUCUUGUUGCCAUUUUUCCCAGCUGCUGCUUUCCUUUCCUCAUGACUGCUCCUGAUGGCAUACAUCCUCACCUUAACCAGCAGGCAAAUAUCAGAGAAGAAAUUCCCUACCUCAAGGUUCACUUCUAUACCAACAGUGUAUUUAUUGAUUUCUUCCGAGAUGAGACACAGAGAGGUCUGACACCACGGGAGAUGAGGUCUUGCAAGGCAAGAUGUGUGUGGAUGCCUGCUGAACAGCUCGCCCUGUUGUCUGAGACAUCAGAUGUUGAUCAGCACGUCAGAAGACCUCCAAGAGCAAGAGAGAGACAGCAGAGGUGGACAUUUAUGGCUUUGUUGCAGAAGUCUGUAAAGGGGAAGGUUCACUUGCAUGGGAUACAAGUGGACAGGUCUGUGACAAUAGGAUGAGGGUGAAGCACUGCCUUCCAGAUACCUUGUGAAGAUUUGAGUCUGAAUGUACUACUGUGGGAAACAUGAAAUAUUUUAUAAUCUCUGGCUAAUGAGAGGUUUUCAAUUCUUGCCCAUUUGUAUCUCCGCCAAGGGCAGCAGUGUUCCCUUUCGCCCCAGCAGCGAUCAGUACAAACAAGCCAUGGCAAUGAGGAAUCAAGACUGGCACCAGAGAGUCUCAGAAGCACCCCUUCCACAUAAACCUGUGCCUCCUGCAGGCAGAAAGCCUGAAUGUGGAAGAAGGUUGAUACACAAAGCCUCAGGAUGCCUUGCGAGCAACCAUGUGGCGGUGCUGAACUCACCAGCCCAGCAGCUGUGCAGAGGACAAAGAGAUGCAGAUAAAUCUGACGUGUUCUGGGCUUGUUGGACCUGCACGUGAGCCCAGACAGGCUGGGCUUGGGUAGUGGCCAGUCCAUGAUUUCACCACAUCGCACCCUCUGACUAAGUUACUAAGGACUGCAGUGGGUGCCACACAGCUCCUUGAGGGUCAGCGAGUGGGCUACUGAGGAUGAUGCUAAGUUAGCUGAGUCGGUCUUUUUAUUUGUUCCCUGGGAGAAAUAACAGAUUUCUCUGGGGACAGAACAGGAAAAGCCAACAUACAACGGGUAGAAAAAUCUCAAAUGCAAAAAAAAAUGUUGGACCUGUGGAAAAAGACUGCCAUCAGGCUGUCUGCAGGUGUAAGACCUGAUUUGAAUCCUGCUUCUGCGUUGUCACCAGUCAGCUGGAGGAACAAAGCAGCCACUGGCCUAUGCAGGGACCAGACUGUGAAAGGAUUUCAGGUGCCUUAGCAUGCAGGUAGGCAUCCAUCAAGGAUUUUAAAUGUCCCCAAGACUUAGAGACCAGUUUUGCCAAGCUGCAGAACACCUUUAGGAUCAGGGCCUUGAGCCAAAAGGCAGAUGUAGCACUACAGGAACCAGGGUGUAAAAGGUGAAUGUUUAAAAUGUGUUUGCUCUGAUCCCAGAAACAGCAAGGGAAGUGUCAAAUCAGAAAGGGCAGAAGAAUCCCAGGCAGCAAAGGAAUCUGCAGGGCAUCAGAGGGACGCGCUGCUGCCCCUGCCAGGAGCAAGCAGGCCGCAGAUUCCCGUUCUGCCCUACCAGUUACCUCAGAGUUACCACAUGCUUGUUAUAAACAUAGCUAAAUCAAAUGUGUAAUUUGGGAGAGCAGAACUUGGUCUACCGCGAGCAAGAAUUUCAGUUUGUUGCUUGAGACCUUUCUGGAUUUGUGAAUUACUUCCCAGAUUCACUUGUAGGUUUUUGCAGGCCAUCAAUGACAAUUCUGCACUAGGGUUAUUUAUCUCACUUCUUAACAGGUGGUCACAGGCAAGUUACAUCUAUAAGGCAUCCUGUGUGCCUUUUAAGGUAAUAAAUAAGAGUAGUGAUUUUUACUUUACA
rnacentral:lncRNA from 1 species